CAGCAGCCGCGGGAAUACGAAGGGGGCAAGUGUUGUUCGGAAUUACUGGGCGUAAAGGGCGCGUAGGCGGUGCACUAAGUCAGGCGUGAAAGCCCUGGGCUCAACCCGGGAACUGCGCUUGAUACUGGUGCGCUUGAAUCCAGGAGAGGUUGGUGGAAUUCCCAGUGUAGAGGUGAAAUUCGUAGAGAUUGGGAAGAACACCGGUGGCGAAGGCGGCCAACUGGACUGGUAUUGACGCUGAGGCGCGAAAGCGUGGGGAGCAAACAGGAUUAGAUACCCCGGUAGUCCCUGUCUCUUAUAC
rnacentral:rRNA from 1 species